CAGGCGGCCACUGCCCCACCCCCGCCCCAGCAUCUGGGCUGCGCCAGGGACGCGCAGCCGCGGGCGUCAGAGUGUUGGCCCACCCUCAGGUUGAUUCUUCUUGACAAACUUGACCAAGCUUGUAGACACUGAGUCCCCAGAACACUGAGGCUGACAGAGGGACUUUCGAGAGCACCAGCCACCAGCUGGAGUGGAUGCCCAGAAGUCCCUCAAGGCAAGAAGACCCAGAGCCAGCAAGACUGAAACAAAAAGCAAAGGAGCAUGCAUGGAUGGAGAACUUGCUGCAAGCAAAACCCUGCCCCAGCCCUGAGGGGACCUCCAGGAGGCAAGGACCGUGGACCUGUUGCUGAUGGAGGAAAGAACCAGAGGAGCAAAUCGUUUGCACACAGAGUGAGCCAGUUUGCAAUCCAGGAGGAAAAGGAGUCAACAGUCAUAGUGUCAACCAAGGAGAUUGCCUUCAACCAUGAAAGAAAGGCAGAGGGAACGUGGAAGAGAAGAGAGAGGCCAGGAGAGGCUACCAGGUGUAUUGCUAUGUGACAGAGGGACAAAGGAGCACCAGCAGCCAGCCCCAGAACUCCAGUCUUCAGGAAGAAAACGUCGUCCCAAUGAUACCUUCCUUGAUUUUGGCUUCAUCCUAGCAUCAAAACCGUGAGCCAAUCUUCAAAUUGAGAAGGAAAGUACCCAAAGAACCACAUCUGAGGAGCCUCAUUCACACCUGGAAUUGAUUUAUAUAAAGAAAUCCUGGACUUUGAGCCUAAGGGUGAUGCAAAUUGGAAUGAGACUUGGGGGGACUUGGGUAGAGGUGGGCAUUUUACAUAAGAAUUGUUGUGACCAAAAGGGCUAAAUGUGGCAUCUCCAAAGAUGGCCACAACAAUAGCUCCCACCCAUAGGCUCUUCUACUAAGUGACCUUGCCAUUCUACCAUCAAGAAAUGGAGUCUAAUUCUCCUUUAUUUUAAUCUAUGACUGCUUCAGCCAAAAGGAAGUGAUGCUGUAUAACUUCCAAAGCUAGCGUCUGCCUUGUUUCCUGGAAUUCACAUUUAGAACUCUGAGCUGCACCUUAAGCACCUUAAGGCUACCUUAAGACCACCUUAAGGCUACCAUGCUGGGAGGAAGUCCAAGCCACACAGAACUACCACAUGCAGGUACUCUGUUGUCAACCCCCAGACAUGAGUGAAGCUGCCUCCAGCCAUCAAGCCUUCCCAGCUGAGCCUCCAGCAGUGACACAUCAACCCCACUGUGCCUGUCCAAGUUCCUGACUUACAGAAUCAGUGAGCAUAAUAAAAUGGCUGUUGUCUGAAGUCACUAUAUUUGGGGGAGUUUGUCAUACCACAGAAGAUGGAUUGAUGGAUGGAUGAGGAGAUGAAUAG